UACGUAGGGGGCGAGCGUUAUCCGGAAUUACUGGGCGUAAAGCGCACGCAGGCGGUUCGCCAAGUUUGGAGUGACAGUUGUCGGCUCAACCGACAAAGGACUUCAAAAACUGGUGAACUUGAGGACGAGAGAGGAACAUGGAACUCCAGGUGUAGUAGUGAAAUGCGUAGAUAUCUGGAAGAACACCAAUGGCGAAGGCAAUGUUCUGGCUCGUUUCUGACGCUCAGGUGCGAAAGCAUGGGGAGCAAACAGG
rnacentral:rRNA from 1 species